UGCUCCAGACCCGCUGCUUCACGCCGCAGAGAGGACGGGCGCCGGGGGACGUGAGUGCGUGGACUGUGGCGAUGGAGCAGCCGCGGAGGACUCAACUGUCUUGUGACCGGAGGCUUCCUGACUCUCCUCCUCCUCCUCCUCCUCGUCUUCCUCCUCCUCCUUUUCAACUACCCUUAAAACAUAAGCCAAAUGAUAGCAAACAUUACGCAAGUGUACGCCGCUGGGAGCACAUGGUGGUGGCAGGAAAACAAGAUCUGAUGUCGAAGUGCAAGGGGCGCGUCUGAGUGACUAUCGGUCAAAGAGAAGGAGGGAAGGCUGCCCGGGUAAUAACUUCAGGUGGAGACAACCUCCUGCUGAUGCAAGAGGCCGUCAACCAGGAGAGUUAAGAGGACUCUUGAGUUCAGAGGUCAUUCUCCAUGCUGUAUGAAGCUGUUGUUAUCUGUCAUUCCCACUGUGUGUAAUGCAUAGCACGAGCAUAUAGUGUCAUAUAGUGUCAUUUACUGUAUUUCCAGUACAGUGAGCUGCACUUUUUAUGUUAUUUGAACUGAACACUAAAUCUUUCCCCACCAGCUCUUUUGGGCCGCUCAGCAUAAAUUCCUGCGGUGCAUCAAAGACAUUGUUGAAAUUGAUAAAACCUUAAACUUUAAACUCUACAGCCAAGCUCCCAAAAUGUUCCUGAGACACAAGAAUCACGAAUGAGAAAAGUACAGAACAAUAUAUUUAGAAUAAACAACCAA